CUGUGAGGCAUGCUGGAGGUAUCAGAAGUGCGAAUGCUGACAUAAGUAACGAUAAAGCGGGUGAAAAGCCCGCUCGCCGGAAGACCAAGGGUUCCUGUCCAACGUUAAUCGGGGCAGGGUGAGUCGACCCCUAAGGCGAGGCCGAAAGGCGUAGUCGAUGGGAAACAGGUUAAUAUUCCUGUACUUGGUGUUACUGCGAAGGGGGGACGGAGAAGGCUAUGUUGGCCGGGCGACGGUUGUCCCGGUUUAAGCGUGUAGGCUGGUUUUCCAGGCAAAUCCGGAAAAUCAAGGCUGAGGCGUGAUGACGAGGCACUACGGUGCUGAAGCAACAAAUGCCCUGCUUCCAGGAAAAGCCUCUAAGCAUCAGGUAACAUCAAAUCGUACCCCAAACCGACACAGGUGGUCAGGUAGAGAAUACCAAGGCGCUUGAGAGAACUCGGGUGAAGGAACUAGGCAAAAUGGUGCCGUAACUUCGGGAGAA
rnacentral:rRNA from 1 species